rnacentral:rRNA from 1 species
AACGAACGCUGGCGGCAGGCCUAACACAUGCAAGUCGAACGCCCUCUUCGGAGGGAGUGGCAGACGGGUGAGUAACGCGUGGGAACCUACCUAGUGGUACGGAAUAACUCGGGGAAACCCGUGCUAAUACCGUAUGUGCCCGAUAGGGGAAAGAUUUAUCGCCAUUAGAUGGGCCCGCGUCGGAUUAGCUUGUUGGUGAGGUAAUGGCUCACCAAGGCGACGAUCCGUAGCUGGUCUGAGAGGAUGAUCAGCCACACUGGGACUGAGACACGGCCCAGACUCCUACGGGAGGCAGCAGUGGGGAAUAUUGGACAAUGGGCGCAAGCCUGAUCCAGCCAUGCCGCGUGAGUGAAGAAGGCCUUCGGGUUGUAAAGCACUUUCAGUAGGGAAGAAAAGCCUAAGGUUAAUACCCUUGGGUCUUGACGGUACCUACAGAAGAAGCACCGGCUAAUUCCGUG